GGUUAAGCGACUAAGCGUACACGGUGGAUGCCCUGGCAGUCAGAGGCGAUGAAGGACGUGCUAAUCUGCGAUAAGCGUCGGUAAGGUGAUAUGAACCGUUAUAACCGGCGAUUUCCGAAUGGGGAAACCCAGUGUGAUUCGUCACACUAUCAUUAACUGAAUCCAUAGGUUAAUGAGGCGAACCGGGGGAACUGAAACAUCUAAGUACCCCGAGGAAAAGAAAUCAACCGAGAUUCCCCCAGUAGCGGCGAGCGAACGGGGAGCAGCCCAGAGCCUGAAUCAGUGUGUGUGUUAGUGGAAGCGUCUGGAAAGGCGCGCGAUACAGGGUGACAGCCCCGUACACAAAAAUGCACAUGCUGUGAGCUCGAUGAGUAGGGCGGGACACGUGGUAUCCUGUCUGAAUAUGGGGGGACCAUCCUCCAAGGCUAAAUACUCCUGACUGACCGAUAGUGAACCAGUACCGUGAGGGAAAGGCGAAAAGAACCCCGGCGAGGGGAGUGAAAAAGAACCUGAAACCGUGUACGUACAAGCAGUGGGAGCACGCUUAGGCGUGUGACUGCGUACCUUUUGUAUAAUGGGUCAGCGACUUAUAUUCUGUAGCAAGGUUAACCGAAUAGGGGAGCCGAAGGGAAACCGAGUCUUAACUGGGCGUUAAGUUGCAGGGUAUAGACCCGAAACCCGGUGAUCUAGCCAUGGGCAGGUUGAAGGUUGGGUAACACUAACUGGAGGACCGAACCGACUAAUGUUGAAAAAUUAGCGGAUGACUUGUGGCUGGGGGUGAAAGGCCAAUCAAACCGGGAGAUAGCUGGUUCUCCCCGAAAGCUAUUUAGGUAGCGCCUCGUGAA
rnacentral:rRNA from 1 species